rnacentral:rRNA from 1 species
GACGAACGCUGGCGGCGUGCUUAAUACAUGCAAGUCGAACGGAAAGGCCCUGCUUUUGUGGGGUGCACGUGUGGCGAACGGGUGAGUAACACGUGAGUAACCUGCCCUUAACAUUGGGAUAACUUCUGGAAAAUGGGGCUAAUAUCGGAUAGGAGCUCCUGCUGCAUGGGGGGGGUUGGAAAGAUUCGGCGGUUGGGGAUGGACUCGCGGCUUAUCAGCUUGUUGGUGGGGUAGUGGCUUACCAAGGCUUUGACGGGUAGCCGGCCUGAGAGGGUGACCGGCCACAUUGGGACUGAGAUACGGCCCAGACUCCUACGGGAGGCAGCAGUGGGGAAUAUUGCACAAUGGGCAGAAGCCUGAUGCAGCAACGCCGCGUGCGGGAUGACGGCCUUCGGGUUGUAAACCGCUUUCGCCUGUGACGAAGCGUGAGUGACGGUAAUGGGUAAAGAAGCACCGGCUAACUACGUG